CUAAAGAGAUAUCCUCGUACACAUCUCUCCCGUAUCCUCCUCCUCCUCCCAGCCCACUCAUGGCGGCGAGCCGGCGCUUGCUCCGCCGCCCUUCCGCUCGCCCCACCUCCCUCCCCUAGCCUGACCGCCCAGCACCGCGUCCUGUGGCCUCGCCGCCCUCCCCGGGCCCCCGACGCCGGCCUCCAACGACCCCGACGAGGCCCGGCGCCGACCUCACAGGACCCCGGUGAGGCCCGACGCCGUCCUCCCAGGUCCUCCACGGCAGCUGCUGGGGCGGCCUCCCAGGCUCCCGACGCUGCCCUCCCUGGCCCUCGCAGCAGCUUCCGACUCGGCUCUCCCCAACAGCUCAGCGCCAUCCUACCAGGGCCCUCAACCUUAUUCGAUGGGCGAUUUCAAAGUAGAAAUAGAUGUCCAUUCUUACUUGAUGAUUGUAGAUGGCAGAAGAGUGUACACAAGGGGCAAAACAUGGAAUUUUAUGGCCGGUCGGGGCUUGUCUGUGGCGCGGAUAAAGGAGGUUGUGGAGGAGAGGUACAAAUGGUCUGCUGAUCAGAGAAUGACCAUUUGGUAUGGAUCCGGAGAUAACGCCGUCCCAUUGAUCUCUGAAUCAGAGAUAGCCCAAUUGUUUGAUACAUGUUCUAACACAAAAGUAGUAAGGUUUUCAAUAAUUGGAUUAAGGACAUGAAGCAGCUUGCAUUGGUUGAGCUUUUGGACAACCUUAGGGAAAUGAUAACGAAAUUGUUAGAGAAAAGGAGAGCCGUUGCCGGUGCGCUUCUAGGUUACAUACUACCUAGUGUGAUAAAGGAGUUGAAUUUGAAAAGCAAGGGGCUGCAUUAUUUGGAAGCAAGAGCAUCGCCAAAUAUAGCUGAGAUUUCAGGAAAUGGAUGGAGGCACACCGUUAACUUGGAGAAAAAUGAGUGCUCUUGUAGGAGAUGGCGGAUUUGUGGUAAGCCAUGCACACAUGCUCUUCGGUUCAUAUUCUCCAAAAAAGCCAAGCAUGAGGAUUAUAUUGAUGAGUGCUUCUCAGUGGCAAGGUUCAAAGCGGCAUAUGAGGGAAUUCUCAUGCCAAUUAGGGGCAGGUCCCAAUGGCCCAAGGUAAAUCCUGGAUUUGAUAUGAUCCCUCCCAAGCUUACCAAGAGUGCUGGACGUCCAAGAACUAGGAGGAUAAAGAAUGACACCGAAGGUGGAACCGGCAGAAAACAUAAAUGCAAAAGGUGUGGAGCAUUAGGUCAUCUUUGGAAGACAUGCAAGGAGCCAGAGAUUGAAAGUGACGCGGACCGAGAUGCUACUCCUCCUCCACAAUAAUUAUUUCAUGAGUCUAAAUUCCUUUCACUUGUUGCCAAAUGUCUUGCAUAUUAAUUGCUAAUAAUGUUGUAUUGAACUGUAGGAAAAUUCAAAGGUUGAAGCAAGCAUUGCAGCUACUUCUUCUCGUAUUACACCAACAAGGUACUCAACUUGUUACUCCUACAAGUCCAAUGACAAGGCAAAGGGCAGCAGCUAUUGCAAUUGCUUCAACACCUCCUAGUGCCUCUACAAGGAGCAAAACUGCUGCUCCUAGCCCUCUUCGAUGAGUUUAGUUCAUUUGGUUGUGAGAACCAUGAUCUUUUGCUUAUGGAGGAUAUCAGCAAGCUUUGGGAUGUUGAGCGCUCCAGAUCAGGUUGCAUACUUUGUUCUUUUAUGUUAUGUGACUUGUUGGUUAUUCUGCUGUUGCUCACAACCUUUCUUUUCUGCUAUCCUGUGGUUAGUACUAGAAAGAAAACAUCCAACACUAGGAUAUCUACAUUCAGGAAAUGUCAUAAUACUAACUAAUACCAUUUUC